GGGGGUCACAGCCAUGAGUGCUCCUAUCACACCUGGGGCAACUACUGCCUUCACUUUCCACAGCUCUUCUUUCAGUUGUUGGUAUUUGUCCACCUUCUCAUGUUCCUUCUUCCUGAUGUUAUAGUAACUGGAUAUUGACACAUACACCACCACUUCAGUGUUCCAUUCCUUGUCUACCACCACAAUGUCAGGUUGGUUGGCCAGUACUUUCUUUUCUUUCUGAAUCUGAAAGUCCCACAGGAUCUUAGCCCUGUCAUACUCAACUACCCAUUGGUUCAUUUCUCAUCUGGACCUAGACAGGUGCAGCCCAUAUUCUCUGCAGAUAUUUUGGUACACAAUACCACCAACUUGGUUGUGUCUCUCUGUGUAUGCUGUUCCUGCUAACAUCUUGCAUCCAGUUAC